rnacentral:rRNA from 1 species
UACAGAGGUCCCGAGCGUUGUUCGGAUUCAUUGGGCGUAAAGGGUGCGUAGGCGGCUUGCUAAGUUUGAUGUGAAAUCCUGGGGCUCAACCCUGGGACUGCAUUGAAUACUGGCAGGCUAGAGUACUGGAGAGGAAACUGGAAUUUACGGUGUAGCAGUGAAAUGCGUAGAGAUCGGAAAGAACACCAACGGCGAAAGCACUCUGCUGGGCCGACACUGACACUGAGAGACGAAAGCUAGGGGAGCGAAUGGG